rnacentral:rRNA from 1 species
CCUACGGGAGGCAGCAGUGAGGAAUAUUGGUCAAUGGCCGUAAGGCUGAACCAGCCAAGUCGCGUGAAGGAAGAAGGAUCUAUGGUUUGUAAACUUCUUUUAUAGGGGAAUAAAGGUAUCCACGUGUGGCUAUUUGCAUGUACCCUAUGAAUAAGCAUCGGCUAACUCCGUGCCAGCCGCCGCGGUAAUACGGAGGAUCCGAGCGUUAUCCGGAUUUAUUUGGUUUAAAGGGAGCGUAGGUGGAUGGUUAAGUUAGUUGUGAAAGUUUGCGGCUCAACCGUAAAAUUGCAGUUGAUACUGGCAGGCGUGAGUACAGUAGAGGUGGGCGGAAUUCGUGGUGUAGCGGUGAAAUGCUUAGAUAUCACGAAGAACUCCGAUUGCGAAGGCAGCUCACUGGACUGCAACUGACACUGAGGCUCGAAAGUGUGGGUAUCAAACAGGAUUAGAUACCCCUGUAGUC